GGAGGUGGACACAGUGAACCUGCACUGCAUGGAGAUGUGCGUGCAGAGGUGCGACCACAAGUACUGGUACCUUAUGCCCACCAACCUGGAGGAGCUGAGCAGCAUCAUGUACAGGAGAGUAACCCAGGCUUAUUCAAAACCUAAAUCCACCAAAGAAAUCAGAAGCUCAUAGGCAUGAAGAGAAAAGGACGGUGUGUUUUUCUAGUCGUUGGUCAUGCGGGGCUACCUGAUCGCAGGCGGGAAGCUGCUGUCAAGAAAUUCUCAAGGAUAUAAGAGUUGCUGUGCUCCCCUGCUAGGACCUCCAAACAAGCUCUCUGGAGCCAAUUUACU